AGUGAACGCUGGCGGUAGGCCUAACACAUGCAAGUCGAACGGCAGCACAGUAAGAGCUUGCUCUUACGGGUGGCGAGUGGCGGACGGGUGAGGAAUAUAUCGGAAUCUACUUUUUCGUGGGGGAUAACGUAGGGAAACUUACGCUAAUACCGCAUACGACCUACGGGUGAAAGCAGGGGAUCUUCGGACCUUGCGCGAUUGAAUGAGCCGAUGUCGGAUUAGCUAGUUGGCGGGGUAAAGGCCCACCAAGGCGACGAUCCGUAGCUGGUCUGAGAGGAGGGUCAGCCACACUGGAACUGAGACACGGUCCAGACUCCUACGGUAGGCAGCAGUGGGGAAUAUUGGACAAUGGGCGCAAGCCUGAUCCAGCCAUACCGCGUGGGUGAAGAAGGCCUUCGGGUUGUAAAGCCCUUUUGUUGGGAAAGAAAAGCAGCAGGUUAAUACCCCGCUGUUCUGACGGUACCCAAAGAAUAAGCACCGGCUAACUUCGUG
rnacentral:rRNA from 1 species